GUGAGAAACCAACAUAUGGAAAAAAUACCAAAUAUAUUCCAAUAUUAUUUACAAGUUACAAUUUAAGUUAUAACACGUUAACAUUCUUUCAACCACAUUUGGUGUUAGAGAUCGAUGAAAAGGUUAAUUCAUCGGUCAGUAUAUACGACACUUUUAUGUUACUCGAAGACUCGCUCCUCGACAAAAUAUUACUCACACUCGCAAGUCUGGUAAAUAAGAUACAUCCACGAAUAUUCACUUGUAAAUACGCAUCACCGUCAAUGAAAUAUAAUGCGAAGAAAGAUGACACGAGAUACGGAGCCGCCGACGCGGGAAGCAAAAAGGAAAUAUUAAUGUCGUAAUCGAGGACGUUUUAUGUCGGCCAACAAAUCUCAUUACUUGUUACGUUGCUCGCCAUUGUUGUAGCCCAACUUGAAGAAAUCUUUCAGCACCACGUUGAAUGUUACG
rnacentral:misc_RNA from 1 species